AGAGUUUGAUCCUGGCUCAGGAUUAACGCUAGCGACGUGCCUAAGGUAUGCAAGUCGAACGGUUUGUCUUUUUCGUAAGAAAAAUGACAAAUAGUGGCAGACGGCUGAGUAACACGUAGGAAUCUACCCUUAUCUCAUGCAUAGCUUCGCGAAAGUGAAGGUAAUUCAUGAUAGUCUCUACGGAGUAAAGAUAUGAAAAUAUCGGGUAAGGAUGAGCCUGCGUCUUAUCAGGUAGUUGGUAGAGUAAUAGCCUACCAAGCCUAUGACGAGUAGCUGGCCUGAGAGGGUGGUCAGCCAGACUGGGACUGAGACACGGCCCAGACUCCUACGGGAGGCAGCAACUAGGAAUUAUGCGCAAUGGGGGAAACCCUGACGCUGCGGCGUCGCGUGGAGGAUGAAGGUCUUAGGAUCGUAAACUCCUUUUGUUAGGGAGCAAAAAAAUGAGAGUACCUAACGAAUAAGUGCCUGCCAACCACGUGCCAGAAGCAUCGGUAAUACGUGGGGCACAAGCGUUAUCCGGUUUUACUGGGCGUAAAGUGAGUGUAGGCGUCUUUUUAAGUUACUUGUUAAAUCUUAGUGCUCAACACUAAGGCCGCAAGUAAUACUAAAAAGAUUGAGGUAGGUAGAGAAGAGAGGAAUUCCUGGUGGAGCGGUUAAAUGCGUUGAUAUCAGGAGGAACACCAAAGGUGAAGACAUCUCUUUGGACCUAUCCUGACGCUGAGACUCGAAAGCGUGGGGAGCAAAACGGAUUANAUACCCGUGUAGUCCACGCCCUAAACGAUCCUCGCUAGAUGUCUGCGACUUUUUGUUUGAACUUGUAUAANGGGA
rnacentral:rRNA from 1 species